rnacentral:rRNA from 1 species
AGGAAUUUCUGGGGGAACCGUGAAAUGGCUAAAAAUCAGGAAGAACCCCCGUGGCGAAAGGCGGCUACUUGGCCAUAACUGACCCUGAAGGACCAAAGCUAGGGGAGCCAAUGGGAUUAAAUACCCCGGUAAUCCCAGCCGUAAACGAUGGAUACUAGGCGUGGGUUGUAUCGACCCGAUACGUGCCGGAGCUAACGCGUUAAGUAUCCCGCCUGGGGAGUACGCACGCAAGUGGAAAACUCAAAGGAAUUGACGGGGGCCCGCACAAGCGGUGGAGUAUGUGGUUUAAUUCGAUGCAACGCGAAGAACCUUACCUAGACUUGACAUGCCACGAAUCCUUCAGAGAUGUAGGAGUGCCUUCGGGAGCGCCAACACAGGUGGUGCAUGGCUGUCGUCAGCUCGUGUCGUGAGAUGUUGGGUUAAGUCCCGCAACGAGCGCAACCCUCGUUUUUAGUUGCCACCAUUAAGUUGGGCACUCUAGAGAGACUGCCGGUGACAAACCGGAGGAAGGUGGGGAUGACGUCAAGUCAGCAUGCCCCUUACGUCUUGGGCUACACACGUACUACAAUGCUACGGACAAAGGGCAGCUACACAGCGAUGUGAUGCAAAUCUCAGAAACCGUAGCUCAGUUCAGAUCGAAGCUUGCAACUCAGCUUCGUGAAGGAGGAAUCGCUAGUAAUUGCAUGUCAGCAUACUGCAGUGAAUUCGUUCCCGGGCCUUGUACACACCGCCCGUCACACCAUGGAAGCUGGUCACGCCCGAAGUCAUUACCUCAACCCUUCGGGGAGGGGAUGCCUAAGUAGACUGGUGACUGGGGUGAAGUCGUACAGAGAGUAG